CAAUUAUUUCACGAGGACAAUUGCCACAUUGUAGCCUUUAUUGCCCAAGAAAAUCAUGUUAAGUGGUCUCCUGAUUUGAUACUUCCAGAAAAUGUUCCAGUACCCAUUCUCAAAACAACAAAGGAAGGAAAGAAAAACUUGGGUCCCAUACUGGAAUUCAUUGAAACUCCAGAAGUUGAAGCUGCAAAGAAAUUGUGGAUUAAUAUCUACAAUGAAAAACAGGCUAUUCGUGAAAAACCACCCGAGUGGAUUCAAGCAAAAUAUGAUAGAUUGGAAACAAUCCGGUCAAAAAGGGAGGAAAUUAAAAAGAAGCAACUGGAAGCAGCUAACUCCACUGUGACAAACUUGUCGCCCGUCUCUUUUUCAGUGCAAGAAAGUGAAACCCUGCCCAGCAACAUCAUUUCACCGGAUAAUAACUAGAUAUUUUUGAGCGGUGAGAGUAUCUUUGCGGAAGCAUUCGCAAACAAUGCCGAACUCUCUCAUGAACUUCUAUUACCAAAUGAAAUGGCCUCAUCUUCCGGCAGAGCAACACCUCCAAUUAACUAUGCCAAAAAAAGAAGAAGCCAGGAAAUUGACAAAAUUUUUUCGUGGCGGGGUAAAAUUUAUUUCUGUUUAGUUCAUGCACUAAGUUGAUUCCAGAGGCUCCUAGUAUUAGCUUUACAAAUAUAAUAGGCAAAUUAGUAAGUUUACAGACAGAAUUUUCUUAGAAGACCCACAUCGUCAGUAAGUAAUGGCGGCCAACCACUCCAUGAUUGAUUGCGUACGGGAAUGCUGGUCAGAUCUGAUACGUCUCGUUUGACUUCUAAUAACGUCUUCGUGCCAAGGAAAUUGAUGGUAUAGGUCUGAUCGUGCGUAAUGUCAAAUAUGCUGAGCCGAUAAGUUUGGGUCAUCCGGGAAACACUCCUGAUUGAAGAAAUACGUAUUCGUUCUUUGAAGGUCUGGGCAAUAACGUGACUGAUUCAUACUCUUCAGUAGCUGCAUCCCUUCCAUCAGUAUUCACAGAUAAGUACAGGCCUUCUAUAGUAACGGCCAGGAAGCUGGCUAUCUCCCUGUAGAACAAAAUUUUGUCAUCCUCCCACCGACCCACAGCCGCCUCUGGCUCUUUUUCCCUAGCGACGCCCUAGCAACGAAAGCGUGUCCUAUCCGCUUUCCACAUUUUCUUUCCCAAUUUUUCCACUUUUCACAGGCUGAGAGCAUGCUCAGCCAUAUCUUGUUCAAGGGUGCAAGGGUCAGUGCCGGCCAAUGCAUAGGUCAGGGAUAAUUAUUAACAACGAAGAAAAAGUGCUGUGUAAUUAAUUGUUUGAAUAAAGGUUACGGAAAAGGAGUUUUAAACCAAAAAGUGACUUACCACACUUUUCAUAAGAUGAAAACAGAAUCGACAAAUGGAUAAAACAUUUACACGGCAGUGUCGAAAAGGGAUCUUCAACAUACAGACUCCUAAAAUAAAGUGAUUACACUGUUAUUUGUAGUGAUCAAUUCGAAGAAAACUGUUUGUUUUUUUCAGUUACUGGAAAUACCAAACUGUUGAAGAAAUCAGCUGUUCCAACGUUGUUCAACAAGGUGGCAGUCAUUCAGACAAAUGAACAGAUUAAUAUGCCAAAUAAAAGAAUUCUGAUGAUGCACAACGGUAAUGCUUCAACUCAACCAAUUCACAGUUCUAUCAAUUCAACUCAAGAGACAGGCUUAACAAUGAUUGUCUUCUUGAAAUGACACAAGACCGCAUAAAUGAGCUUUAGGGCUUGGGGAAAAAAAUAUCCGACUGUUGUGGUUCUGGGCUUCGUCUCGUCUUUCAGCUCUUUCAUUAUAAAACUAGAUCCGACCUUGUUAUGGCUCUUAAUAAGAUUUUUCUUGUUCUGUCCCGCACUUUUUUUUCUCGUUAGGUUUUGUUUCCCUCUUUAAUCAUGUUGACCUUGUCCCCAUAAUACUUUGUAGGUAAGAUUUAGUAUCUUUCCUUACAAACUUCAGUGAAAGUAAAAUCUUGCAACAAAGCGCCGGCUAAAGCCGGCGCUAGGAUUUACGUUCUUUAUUCACCUACGUUCUUUAUAAAAUCCAGGCCUGUUCUGGUAUUGAAGAUGUGGAAGAAGCG